GCUGGGCGUGGUGGCUCACGACUGUAAUCCCAGCCUCUUGGGAGGCUGAGACAGGAGGAUUGUGAGUUCAAAGCCAGCUUCAGCAAAAGCAAGGUGCUAAGAAACCCAGUGAGACCCUGUCUCUA
rnacentral:sRNA from 1 species